CCUACGGGUGGCAGCAGUGAGGAAUAUUGGUCAAUGGGCGUAAGCCUGAACCAGCCAAGUCGCGUGAGGGAUGAAGGCUCUAUGGAUUGUAAACCUCUUUUAUAAGGGAAUAAAGCGUGGGACGUGUCCCUUUUUGCAUGUACCUUAUGAAUAAGGAUCGGCUAACUCCGUGCCAGCAGCCGCGGUAAUACGGAGGAUCCGAGCGUUAUCCGGAUUUAUUGGGUUUAAAGGGUGCGUAGGCGGCCUUUAAGUCAGCUGUGAAAGUCUGUGGCUCAACCAUAGAAUUGCCGUUGAAACUGGGAGGCUUGAGUAUGUUUGAGGCAGGCGGAAUUCGUGGUGUAGCGGUGAAAUGCUUAGAUAUCACGCAGAACCCCGAUUGCGAAGGCAGCCUGCCAAGCCAUGACUGACGCUGAUGCACGAAAGCGUGGGGAUCAAACAGGAUUAGAUACCCGAGUAGUC
rnacentral:rRNA from 1 species